GCAACCCUUGAUUUUAGUUGCCAGCAUUUAGUUGGGCACUCUAAAGUGACUGCCGGUGCAAGCCGGAGGAAGGUGGGGAUGACGUCAAAUCAUCAUGCCCCUUAUGACCUGGGCUACACACGUGCUACAAUGGAUAGUACAAAGGGUCGCGAAGCCGCGAGGUGGAGCUAAUCCCAUAAAACUAUUCUCAGUUCGGAUUGUAGGCUGCAACUCGCCUACAUGAAGCCGGAAUCGCUAGUAAUCGUGGAUCAGCAUGCCACGGUGAAUACGUUCCCGGGCCUUGUACACACCGCCCGUCACACCACGAGAGUUUGUAACACCCGAAGUCGGUAGGGUAACCUUUAUGGAGCCAGCCGCCGAAGGUGGGACAGAUAAUUGGGGUGAAGUCGUAACAAGGUAGCCGUAUCGGAAGGUGCGGCUGGAUCACCUCCUUUCUAAGGAA
rnacentral:rRNA from 1 species